rnacentral:rRNA from 1 species
AGAAGAAGCACCGGCUAACUCCGUGCCAGCAGCCGCGGUAAUACGGAGGGUGCAAGCGUUAAUCGGAAUUACUGGGCGUAAAGCGUGCGUAGGCGGUUCGUUAAGUCAGAUGUGAAAGCCCCGGGCUUAAACCUGGGAACUGCAUUUGAAACUGGUGGACUUGAGUUGAGUAGAGGGGAGUGGAAUUUCAGGUGUAGCGGUGAAAAUGCGUAGAUAUCUGAAGGAACACCAGUGGCGAAGGCGACUCCCUGGACUCAAACUGACGCUGAGGUACGAAAGCGUGGGUAGCAAACAGGAUUAGAUACCCUGGUAGUCCACGCUGUAAACGAUGUCAACUAGCCGUUGGUCCUAUUUACAGGAUUAGUGGCGCAGCUAACGCAUUAAGUUGACCGCCUGGGGAGUACGGCC